rnacentral:rRNA from 1 species
UACGUAGGGUGCAAGCGUUGUCCGGAAUUAUUGGGCGUAAAGAGCUCGUAGGCGGUCUGUUGCGUCGGGAGUGAAAUCCACUGGCUUAACUGGUGGCUUGCUUUCGAUACGGGCAGACUGGAGGUAUGCAGGGGAGAACGGAAUUCCUGGUGUAGCGGUGAAUGCGCAGAUAUCAGGAGGAACACCGGUGGCGAAGGCGGUCUCUGGGCAUGUCCUGACGCUGAGGAGCGAAAGUGUGGGGAGCGAACAGG